AGAGUUUGAUCCUGGCUCAGGAUAAACGCUGGCGGCGCACAUAAGACAUGCAAGUCGAACGGACCAAAGCUUUAGUUUACUAUAGCCAAGGUUAGUGGCGGACUGGUGAGUAACACGUAAGCAACCUGCCUAUCAGAGGGGAACAACAGUUAGAAAUGACUGCUAAUACCGCAUAUGCCUAAGUUUCGCAUGAGACAAUAGGGAAAGGAGAAAUCCGCUGAUAGAUGGGCUUGCGUCUGAUUAGCUAGUUGGUGGGGUAGAGGCCUACCAAGGCAACGAUCAGUAGCCGAACUGAGAGGUUGAACGGCCACAUUGGGACUGAGAUACGGCCCAGACUCCUACGGGAGGCAGCAGUCGGGAAUAUUGCGCAAUGGAGGAAACUCUGACGCAGUGACGCCGCGUGCAGGAAGAAGGUUUUCGGAUUGUAAACUGCUUUAGACAGGGAAGAAACAAGACAGUACCUGUAGAAUAAGCUCCGG
rnacentral:rRNA from 1 species